GAUCCUGGCUCAGGAUGAACGCUAGCUACAGGCUUAACACAUGCAAGUCGAGGGGAAACGACAUCGAAAGCUUGCUUUUGAUGGGCGUCGACCGGCGCACGGGUGAGUAACGCGUAUCCAACCUGCCCACCACUUGGGGAUAACCUUGCGAAAGUAAGACUAAUACCCAAUGACGUCUUUAGAAGACAUCUGAAAGAGAUUAAAGAUUUAUCGGUGAUGGAUGGGGAUGCGUCUGAUUAGCUUG
rnacentral:rRNA from 1 species